CACCGCGGUUAUACGAGAGGCCCAAGCUGACAGCCAUCGGCGUAAAGCGUGGUUAAAAUAAUAACAAAAUAAAGCCGAAUGCUCCCUCAACUGUUAUACGUUCUCGAGAGCCAGAAGACCCCUAACGAAAGUAGCUUUAAUACUAUUGAACCCACGAAAGCUAAGACA
rnacentral:rRNA from 1 species